rnacentral:rRNA from 1 species
GAUGAACGCUGGCGGCGUGCCUAACACAUGCAAGUCGAGCGCGUCUUAUCGGUGCUUGCACUGAGAAAGAUGAGCGGCGGACGGGUGAGUAACGCGUGGGUAACCUGCCCUAUACACAUGGAUAACAUACUGAAAAGUUUACUAAUACAUGAUAAUAUAUAUUUACGGCAUCGUAGAUAUAUCAAAGUGUUAGCGGUAUAGGAUGGACCCGCGUCUGAUUAGCUAGUUGGUGAGGGUAACGCCACCAAGGCGACGAUGGGUAACCGCCUGAGAGGGUGAACGGUCACAUUGGAACUGAGACACGGUCCAA